rnacentral:rRNA from 1 species
GACGAACGCUGGCGGCGUGCUUAACACAUGCAAGUCGAACGAUGAAGCCCUUUCGGGGGUGGAUUAGUGGCGAACGGGUGAGUAACACGUGGGUAACCUGCCCUGUACCCUGGGAUAAGCCUUGGAAACGAGGUCUAAUACCGGAUAUGACCUGCUCUCGCAUGGGGGUGGGUGGAAAGUUUUGGCGGUGCAGGAUGGACCCGCGGCCUAUCAGCUUGUUGGUGGGGUGAUGGCCUACCAAGGCGACGACGGGUAGCCGGCCUGAGAGGGCGACCGGCCACACUGGGACUGAGACACGGCCCAGACUCCUACGGGAGGCAGCAGUGGGGAAUAUUGCACAAUGGGCGAAAGCCUGAUGCAGCGACGCCGCGUGAGGGAUGACGGCCU